rnacentral:rRNA from 1 species
AGCGGCGGACGGGUGAGUAACGCGUGGGAAUGUGCCCUUCUCUACGGAAUAGCCACUGGAAACGGUGAGUAAUACCGUAUACGCCCUCAGGGGGAAAGAUUUAUCGGAGAAGGAUCAGCCCGCGUUAGAUUAGGUAGUUGGUGGGGUAACGGCCUACCAAGCCUACGAUCUAUAGCUGGUUUUAGAGGAUGAUCAGCCACACUGGGACUGAGACACGGCCCAGACUCCUACGGGAGGCAGCGGUAGGGAAUCUUGGACCAUGGGGGCAACCCUGAUCCAGCCAUGCCGCGUGAGUGAAGAAGGCCCUAGGGUCGUAAAGCUCUUUCGCCUGUGAUGAUAAUGACAGUAGCAGGUAAAGAAACCCCGGCUAACUCCGUGCCAGCAGCCGCGGUAAUACGGAGGGGGUUAGCGUUGUUCGGAAUUACUGGGCGUAAAGCGCGCGUAGGCGGAUUGGAAAGUUGGGGGUGAAACCCCGGGGCUCAACCCCGGAACUGCCUUCAAAACUCCCAGUCUAGAGUUCGAGAGAGGUGAGUGGAAUUCCGAGUGUAGAGGUGAAAUUCGUAGAUAUUCGGAAGAACACCAGUGGCGAAGGCGGCUCACUGGCUCGAUUACUGACGCUGAGGUGCGAAAGUGUGGGGAGCAAACAGGAUUAGAUACCCUGGUAGUCCACACCGUAAACGAUGAAUGCCAGUCGUCGGAUAGUAUACUAUUCGGUGACACACC